UGAGUAGGCGGUCAAUUAAGUCAUAUGUGAAAGCCCGGUGCUUAACAUCGGGACUGCAUAAGAAACUGAAGGACUAGAGUACAGGAGAGGUAAGCGGAAUUCUUAGUGUAGCGGUGAAAUGCGUAGAUAUUAAGAAGAACACCAGUGGCGAAGGCGGCUUACUGGACUGAAACUGACGCUGAGUCACGAAAGCGUGGGGAGCGAACAGGAUUAGAUACCCUGGUAGUCCACGCUGUAAACGAUGAUUGCUAGGUGUCGGGUAGAGAUGCUCGGUGCCGCAGUAAACGCAAUAAGCAAUCCACCUGGGAAGUACGACCGCAAGGUUGAA
rnacentral:rRNA from 1 species